GGUAGUAUAGCUUAGUGGUAGUGCAUGUGGUUAGAAUGGGUGAGGCCCUGGGUUCAAUUCCCAGCUCUACCC
rnacentral:tRNA from 1 species